CAUGACUAGUGUCUCUGGGUCAAGAGCAGGGUGGAGACAAAGCCCCAGGAAUACCUGUUAAAGACCAAACCCUGGUUAGAAGGGAUUGAUAAUUCUCUUGAGGUAUGCCUGUGUGUUUCCUGUUAAAGUUUCGUUGUUAAACUAUUGCACACAGUCUCUUUCAUGGGUUGAGUUCUUCCCCAGGAAUCUUUGUGUUUUUUCCCCAAAAUUCCCAUGUUAAGAUUCUGUAAGUAAACUGGGAUAACCCAACUAGCCUUACUAAAACUCUCCUAGUGCACAAAUAUUAUAUGCCAGAUGGCAAGGGCUCAUAGAAUUGGUGGCCCAAGAAGUGGCCAUUUCCUCUUUGACCAAGUUAAGAAAAUAAAAGAACCUCUUAAGACUAGUAGAGUCCCUGGGAGGGGUGAGGAAUUCCCAGUGGAGCCCCUGCUAGGUAAGCAGUUGUUUGGUUAACAGGAAAGCCAGUUUUCUGUCUAGAAUGCAGAGGGUGAAGGGAAGAGAAGCAAGAAUGAUGCACUGGAUGUUAGAAGGGACCAGUUUAUGAGGGGCCCUGGUGGUCAUAGUAAGGAGCUUGAAUAUUAUUAUAAGUUGAAUGAGAAUCUACUAUAGAAAUAAGACAUGCAUACAUUUAUUCAUGUCUCUACUUCUCACACAUUUAUCUCAAAUAUUCAUAUUUUGUUCAAAAAGUGUAGAGGAAACAGGACUGAAUAAAGAGAGAAAUGCUCAGACAAGGAAAUUACCAGGUUAUCAUUCAAUUGGAAGACCAACAUAAAAAUUCAUAGUGGAAUACAUCAAUUUUGGUAAUAUCAAGGACAAAGAGGCUAAGAAGACAAGGUGAUUGAGUAUGAGGUUCUAAUCUUAGCUUUGAUGAAGGGAAGUGAGAUAGAAACUGAAGUGAGAAAUUUCAUGUUUCUUUUUGCUUUGCAAACAUUUAACCAAGGGAGUUGGCUUCAGGAAAAGAAGUAUGUAAGAGAAGGGAUGUGCUUGGGAAUGCAGAGGGGAAUACAAGGGCAGCUGGGGUUUUUCAAUGAAGCUUAAGAGAUAAGAGCUGAGUAUCAAGAUCUGGCAAGUUGAAUGUGUGUCUUAAUAUCACGGUGUGGGGGUCAGAGAAGCAUCAGUGUCAACAGCAACCCUUCUGCUUCUGAUUGGCUUCGAUUUUGUGUUCGAUUUCUAUUGCUGCCAUAACCUAACAAAUCACCACAAACUUAACAGCUUCAAACAACAUCAAUUUAUUAUCUCACCAUUCUUGUAGGUCAGAAGUCCUCAUGGGCUUGGCUAGAUUGUCUGCUUAGGGUCUCGCACAUCUACAAUCAAGAUAUUAACUGGGCUGGGCUCUUACCUGUAGGCUCUGGGGGAGAAUCUGCUUCUAAUCUCACUCAGGUUAUUGGCAGAAUUUAUUUCCAUGUGACUGCAGGACUGAGGUCCCUGGUUCCCAGCUGGCUUUCAGCCAAGGCUUCUGGGUCCGGAAUCCCCAGCUCUGGCGAUGAAGAUGCAGCGAGAGUGCCUUUCACAGGGGAGAUCGAUUUCCUGCUUCCGGGGAACAGAGACAGAGGGUCAGAAAGCCCUUUCUGCUUCUCAAUAGCUUCACAAUCUGCAGCAUAGAGCAGAUGACUGAGUUGCCAGAAGACCUGACCAUUGGAAAAGUGAGAACGUUAAUGGAGAGAGAAAAACUAAUACAUGGAAAUUCUUUCCCCAUUCAAAUUGGCACAUGUCUUUCUUUCUAGGAAAGUCUAUGGGGCUCACCUUUUUUAUGAAGUUAAAGUCUGUGGAAAUACGAUCAAAGACAAGAAGUUACAGUUUCAAAGCGCCACCAAUUUCAAAUUCCACAGACAUGUACGCAGGCCCCUCUGGAGAAUGUUGCCAUCUCAUGUUAUAUGCGAGUCUGGGAAAAUUACUAUACUCCCACACUGUAUACUUUGAAUAAAGAUUUGUAUUCCUUAUGCAAAAAUAUACAAAUAUGGAAUAUAUUGGAGACACAAUAUCAUUAGCUUUCAGGGGGGAAGAAUCAUUUAUUGCCUACUUUUGGGGAUUUUAUUUAAAGCACACUGUUCUUUACACAGUACUUUACAGUUUAUAAAGCCUUUUUACAAUUGGUAUUUCAUUUGCUCUUCCCAACCUCGUGUAAAGAAAUGUGGGGCAAAUAUUGCUACCCCAUUUUACAAGCAAGCAAAUGGAGAUAGCUGGAGACCAUCUGUGCUUCUCCUAAUAUGGUGAUCCUGCUGUCCCACAUUGCUACGUGCAUAAGGCCAUCCUGCAGUAUUGAGUGGCAAUCUGAGAGCAAAAUAAAAAUGGAAGUAAAUUCAUUUUCCUUGUCUGUUCUGGAACCUCACAAUUACACUCUUUGCUCAGGGCAUAAUUAAAAAGACAAACCUGUGUCUGAACUAUUCUUCCAGUAUAUACUCUGCACUGAAAUAUCUUUAGAAUAAAGUCAAUAAAUAAAAGAAGUUAAACCAUGCUUCUCUGGUAGGUGAGGAGGUGGGGGGCUCUGGGCCUACCUGCUCAUCUCUCCUCUCCCCUUCCUGGCCCCCUCACAUUCUUCCUCUUCUGCUCACCUUUGAAGCACAGUUCGAGAAUCACUCUCUUCAAAAGUAGAUUCCGUGUGUCCUUGGAAAUGUCUAAAUUGAGGCUCUAUUGUAAUAAGUCACAACCUGUUACUGGGAUUCAAAGAGAAAAUGAAUUCAAGUGAGUGAGAACAAAGUCAUUUGCCCAGGAACCCACUGUGAAGGAUGGAGAGCAUUAAAAUUCAAAAAUGAUUUGCAAGUUAAAAAUUCACUCCUGAGCUAAAAUAGGGCAUCUGUUUAAGUCUUUCUCAACUGCUGCUUAUUCUGUCAAUAAGGUUCACUUUUUUUUUUUUGCGUGUUAUCUUUAUAUACUUCUGUGUG
ensembl:lncRNA